AUUGAACGCUGGCGGCAUGCCUUACACAUGCAAGUCGAACGGUAGAGGGCUUCGGCCCUUGAGAGUGGCGAACGGGUGAGUAAAGCAUCGGAACGUACCCUGUCGAGGGGGAUAACGUAGCGAAAGUUACGCUAAUACCGCAUAAGACCUGAGGGUGAAAGUGGGGGACUGGAAACGGCCUCACGCGAUGGGAGCGGCCGAUGUCGGAUUAGCUAGUUGGUGGGGUAAAGGCCUACCAAGGCGACGAUCCGUAGCGGGUCUGAGAGGAUGAUCCGCCACACUGGGACUGAGACACGGCCCAGACUCCUACGGGAGGCAGCAGUGGGGAAUUUUGGACAAUGGGCGCAAGCCUGAUCCAGCCAUGCCGCGUGGGUGAAGAAGGCCUUGGUUGUAAGACCUUCGCGGAGGAAACGUAGACGGGCGAACGAGUACU
rnacentral:rRNA from 1 species